rnacentral:rRNA from 1 species
AGCGAACGCUGGCGGCAGGCCUAACACAUGCAAGUCGAGCGCCGUAGCAAUACGGAGCGGCAGACGGGAGAGUAACACGUGGGAACGUACCCUUUAGUUCGGAACAACCCAGGGAAACUUGGGCUAAUACCGGAUACGUCCGUAAGGAGAAAGAUUUAUCGCUGAAGGAUCGGCCCGCGUCUGAUUAGCUAGUUGGUGAGGUAACGGCUCACCAAGGCGACGAUCAGUAGCUGGUCUGAGAGGAUGAUCAGCCUCACUGGGACUGAGACACGGCCCAGACUCCUACGGGAGGCAGCAGUGGGGAAUAUUGGACAAUGGGCGCAAGCCUGAUCCAGCCAUGCCGCGUGGGUGAUGAAGGCCCUAGGGUUGUAAAGCCCUUUCGGCGGGGAAGAUAAUGACGGUACCCGCAGAAGAAGCCCCGGCUAACUUCGUGCCAGCAGCCGCCGUAAAAC